UCAAAUAACAAAAGGAUGACGGUGGAUACCUAGGCAUUUAGAGAAGAAGAAGGGCGUGGUAACCGACGAAACACUUCGAGAAGCUGGAAACGAGCAAUGAAUCGAAGAUCCCCGAAUAGGGCAACCUUAUAAACUGCUUGUUGAAUUAAUAGACAAGAAAGAGAAAACCCAGUGAAUUGAAACAUCUUAGUAACUGGAGGAAAAGAAAGCAAAAGCGAUUCCCGUAGUAGCGGCGAGCGAAAUGGGACCAGCCUAAACCUCUUAACAUUGUUACAGAGGUGUUGUGGGACGUUGAAUCUGCGAGGACCACCUCGUAAGGCUAAAUACUCCUAAAUGACCGAUAGUGAAAUAGUACCGCGAGGGAAAGGUGAAAAAGAACCCAUUACUGGGAGUGAAAAAGAACAUGAAACCGCCAUCUGACAAGCGGUGGGAGAGGCAGUUACCCGAAUCUAAUUCGGGUUAGACCUUGACCGCGUGCCUGUAGAAGAAUGAGCCGGCGACUUAUAGGGAGUGGCUUGGUUAAGAAGUACAAUCCGAAGCCAAAGCGAAAGCAAGUUUGAAUAUAUAGAGCGCUUUGUCACUCCUUAUGGACCCGAACCCGAGUGAUCUAACCACGGCCAGGAUGAAGCUUGGGUAACACCAAGUGAAGGUCCGAACUCGUCAAUCUUGAAAAAUUGUGAGAUGAGCUAUGGUUAGGGGUGCAAAUCGUGGCAAACUAAGAAUACUAGAUCUCUAUUCCAUCAAUCAGUGAGACAGUGGGGGAUAAGCUCCAUUGUCAAGAGGGAAACAGCCCAGAUCACCAGCUAAGGCCCCAAAAUGAUGAACUAGCUAAGUGUCAAAGGAGGUGAGAGUGCAGAGACAACCAGGAGGUUUGCUUAGAAGCAGCAAUCCUUUAAAGAGUGCGUAAUAGCUCACUGGUAAAGCGCUCUUGCGCCGACAAUGUAUGGGACUAAGCGGUCUGCCGAAGCUGUGGGAUAUUAGUUUUAACCAAAACUUUAUAAAUUUUUGUGAAAUAACUUCUAAUAUCGGUAGGGGAGCGUUCUGUAGUAGGUUGAAGCGUAUUUGUAAAAAUGCGUGGACAAAACAGAAGUGAGAAUGUCGGCUUGAGUAACGAAAACAUUGGUUCAGAAUCCAAUGCCCCGAAAACCUAAGGGUUCCUUUACUAGGCUCGACCAUGAAGGGUUAGUCAGUUCCUAAGAUUAGGCCGAAAGGCGUCGUCGAUGGAAAACAGGUUAAUAUUCCUGUACUAAUUGUCAUAUUUAGACUGAGGAACGAAGGAGGGAUUAGCACGCCAAGAUUGGAUUUGGUGAGAGACGUUUGAGGUGAUGAGAGAUAGAAGAAAAACUGUUCUUGAGCUAAAGCGUGUUAUGUUUGCCCCUUUUUGACAAAGUAAUUUGUCAGAAAAGGUAAAUUGUGUACAAUCUCAUACUUCCUAGAAAAGCUCGAGCUCUGUUAAAUGACAUAUUAUCUGUACCCGAAUCCGACACAGGUAGGUAGGUAGAGAAUACCAAGGGGAGCGAGAUAACUCUCUCUAAGGAACUCGGCAAAAUGGCCCCGUAACUUCGGAAGAAGGGGUGCCUCUGAAAGGAGGUCGCAGUGAGCAGGCCCAGGCGACUGUUUACCAAAAACACAAGUCUCCGCUAAGUCGCAAGACAAUGUAUGGGGGCUGACGCCUGCCCGGUGCUGGUAGGUCAAGGAAGUUGGUUAUUUGUCUUUAGGCAGAAAAGCUGACGACCGAAGCCCCAGUGAACGGCGGCCGUAACUAUGACGGUCCUAAGGUAGCGAAAUUCCUUGUCUGGUAAGUUCAGACCCGCAUGAAAGGCGUAACGAUCUGGGUACUGUCUCGGAGAGAGACUCGGUGAAAUAGACAUGUCCGUGAAGAUGCGGACUACUUACACCUGGACAGAAAGACCCUAUGA
rnacentral:rRNA from 1 species